rnacentral:rRNA from 1 species
GGUAAACGGCGGCCGUAACUAUAACGGUCCUAAGGUAGCGAAAUUCCUUGUCGGGUAAGUUCCGACCUGCACGAAUGGCGUAAUGAUGGCCAGGCUGUCUCCACCCGAGACUCAGUGAAAUUGAACUCGCUGUGAAGAUGCAGUGUACCCGCGGCAAGACGGAAAGACCCCGUGAACCUUUACUAUAGCUUGACACUGAACAUUGAGCCUUGAUGUGUAGGAUAGGUGGGAGGCUUUGAAGCGUGGACGCCAGUCUGCGUGGAGCCAACCUUGAAAUACCACCCUUUAAUGUUUGAUGUUCUAACGUUGGCCCCUGACCGGGGUUGCGGACAGUGUCUGGUGGGUAGUUUGACUGGGGCGGUCUCCUCCCAAAGCGUAACGGAGGAGCACGAAGGUUAGCUAAUCCUGGUCGGACAUCAGGAGGUUAGUGCAAUGGCAUAAGCUAGCUUGACUGCGAGCGUGACGGCGCGAGCAGGUGCGAAAGCAGGUCAUAGUGAUCCGGUGGUUCUGAAUGGAAGGGCCAUCGCUCAACGGAUAAAAGGUACUCCGGGGAUAACAGGCUGAUACCGCCCAAGAGUUCAUAUCGACGGCGGUGUUUGGCACCUCGAUGUCGGCUCAUCACAUCCUGGGGCUGAAGUAGGUCCCAAGGGUAUGGCUGUUCGCCAUUUAAAGUGGUACGCGAGCUGGGUUUAGAACGUCGUGAGACAGUUCGGUCCCUAUCUGCCGUGGGCGCUGGAGAAUUGAGGGGGGCUGCUCCUAGUACGAGAGGACCGGAGUGGACGCAUCACUGGUGUUCGGGUUGUCAUGCCAAUGGCACUGCCCGGUAGCUAAAUGCGGAAGAGAUAAGUGCUGAAAGCAUCUAAGCACGAAACUUGCCCCGAGAUGAGUUCUCCCUGAGACUAUAAGUCUCCUGAAGGAACGUUAAAGACGAUGACGUUGAUAGGCCGGGUGUGUAAGCGCAGCGAUGCGUUGAGCUAACCGGUACUAAUGAACCGUGAGGCUUAACCUU